rnacentral:rRNA from 1 species
AGGACGAACGCUGGCGGCGUGCUUAACACAUGCAAGUCAAGGGGGCCCAGCAAUGGGCAACCGGCGAACGGGUGCGUAACACGUGAGCAACCUACCGAACUGUGGGGGAUAGCCGGCCUAACGGCCGAGUAAUACCGCAUACGCUCUCAGGGAGCAUUUCUUGAGAGGAACCUACGGGACAGAUCGAGGGCUCGCGGCCUAUCAGCUAGUUGGCGAGGUAACGCUCACCAAGGCAACGACGGGUA